CCUACGGGGUGCAGCAGUGGGGAAUAUUGGACAAUGGGCGAAAGCCUGAUCCAGCCAUGCCGCGUGUGUGAAGAAGGCCUUCGGGUUGUAAAGCACUUUCAGUGGGGAAGAAAGCCUUGGGGCUAAUACCCUCGAGGAAGGACAUCACCCACAGAAGAAGCACCGGCUAACUCCGUGCCAGCAGCCGCGGUAAUACGGAGGGUGCGAGCGUUAAUCGGAAUUACUGGGCGUAAAGCGCGCGUAGGCGGUCUGAUAAGCCGGUUGUGAAAGCCCCGGGCUCAACCUGGGAACGGCAUCCGGAACUGUCAGGCUAGAGUGCAGGAGAGGAAGGUAGAAUUCCCGGUGUAGCGGUGAAAUGCGUAGAGAUCGGGAGGAAUGCCAGUGGCGAAGGCGGCCUUCUGGACUGACACUGACGCUGAGGUGCGAAAGCGUGGGUAGCAAACAGGAUUAGAUACCCCGGUAGUC
rnacentral:rRNA from 1 species